GCGACCAUCGUUCAAUGGUAGGACAGCAGAUUGUGGCUCUGCUAACGAGGGUUCAAUUCCCUCUGGUCGCCCCA
rnacentral:tRNA from 1 species